UUGGGGGCGGUAUAAGUAUUCUGAUUUAGUGGAUCCCUGCGGAGAGUUUCUAGAGGCAUUUUUUUAAGCAAUCGAAUUCGUACCCAGCUCCCUCAAGGCAGAACUGAAAUUGUGUCUUGAAAAACAGUUUUGUGCCCACUCGUGUUUCUUAACGUGACUCCUGGUUGGAGAAUUUGCUGAACCCUCUGGCUCCAGGAUCUUACAUUAUUUACAGAACCGAUCCCUCCCGAAACCGGGGUGUGGGUUACAUUUCUGUGGGCAUACACAUUUCCAUGAGCUGCUGCCUGAUGCUUCUGUCUCUGAAGUCUGGUCUCCAUGCCAUCGGUCCCAAGCCAAGAUGACUCCAGCUUCCUGGAAUUCCAUUCAUCCCUUUGGGAAGGGACGUCAGUGGCGACGCUUCCCCCAGCUGUGGUCCUGAGUGAACAGGCUUGGCCCUGAGUUCAGGGACCCAGAUGCUCAGAGCCAGGAGUAAAAGUUUCUACUGGAUGAUUAGUCAAGUCAGAUUCCUGUCCUUGAAGUCACGGGCCCUGACUCAUCCGCACAGUCUGAAGAUUCCGGAAUCAGCAGCCACGCUUGUUCUUCAGUCCCCGGUCCAAUCCAGGUCCCCUUUGCUCCGUGAAAGAAAGGAAGACGAUGGAGAUAGAGGAUCACAGACGUGGGCUUAUUUCACAGUACAGACAACUGAGCUGGUUCCUGAACGCCCCUGCCAUGCAGAAGCCUCCCUUUGUGACUUCACGUCUCUGGCAUGUCAACCACAGGAGGCCUUCGUAAUGGAAGCCCUGAUCUGUUUAGCACGAGCCUCACGGUCCUGUUGGUAACGGGAGGCAGAUGGCAGAUAAAGCAGCUGAAGGUACAGAACCUGAGCAGGGGGAUGGAGACUCUAAAAACAUCUGAGACAUAAGAGUCCAGGGAUGGGUGAGGG